rnacentral:lncRNA from 1 species
CAACUCUUAUGAAAUGUUUGAAAUGCAUAGAAUCGAACUGUGCACUUCACAGCAAAUGAAUCCCCUAAAAUACAUAUAGGGGCAGCAGCAUUGAAUAAUAAAUACUGACUCUUGAUAAGCUGACAUUUGGGAUGUGGCGUGUGACAUUUAGCAGUGUAGACCCGCUGCAUAGCUCUGGGAACGUGAAGGAGAAUUUAGAUGCAUGUGAGCCCUUUAAUUCUCGUGGCCUUAUUCUCUUUUAUUGUAAUGAAAGUGUUGCAACUGCAGGGGAAUAAUGAAAGAUUAUUGUGAUAAUUAAUCUUGGAUGGAUAGGUUGAGAGAUUGUGAUAGAUGAGCUGGACUUUUUUCUAACAGAAAUGCAUGUUUGUGCUUAGUUCCUCUCUCCUCUAGUCUUAAGAGCAAGAGGCAUCAGGUCAAGAGCGACCCUACACCGUUUGGCUAUGAAGGAUGGAGUCAACGGCGUCUGCCAUCAAUGGAUGCUGAAGAUUUUGAGACCAUUCCAUCAAGUGCCGAAGAACUCUCCAUAUCCUCAGAUGGAGAGGAUGAAGGAAAUAACAAAAAUGUAUGUUCUUGGGUCUGCAACAUCUUCAUUCACGUUCUGUCAGCAUAUCUCAUUCGUUUCCUUGCAUAUUUGUAUUGAGGGUAUAAAAAAAAAGUCAAAUAUUCCUUAAAGGGACAGUUCACCCCAAAAUGAAAAUCCUGUCAUUAUUACACUCUAAUGUCAUCCCAAACUAUUCUUCUGCACAGUAGUAACCGCACUUUUUUUUUUCUAAUCUCCAAACCUCUUCAAAAUCUCCAAAAAAACUCACUAUUACAUGUACACAAAUCUAACAUGUAAUUUUCUUAAAUUAAAAACACUUCUUUCCCUCGUGUCAACAAAAAAUAUUCAUGUAGUUCCAACACAACAUGAUUAAAUUAAUUUAAAUUUAACAAAUUUAAGUGGACUGAACAUAAUGGAAAUAAAUUGUAAAAACAAAAUCAAGAAUUUUGUUGUUUCUGCUCAUUUUAACCAAGGGGGUGCCACACAAAAAGUUUUUUUUUCUUUUUCUUCUUUUUUUUUUUUGUUUUUUUUUGGUCGUAAGUGCGCCUCUUGUGACCAUUGUGCGCUCCUACACCCAUAUAUUAAGCAAAGUAAUUUCUGACAGUUAACAUAAUUUUAGUACUGAUCGAUCAUCCAACUGAUUAAAAUAAUGUUAUAAUAAAAUAGACAUAAAUGAAAAAUAAUAAGAUUUGACAACAUGGCAUGUUGGACUAAUUUAAAAACAUUCUGCGUCAUGACGUAAUUAUAAUACAUCAUCAUAGCGAAUUAAUUAUGCAUGGUGCACACAGUUAAAAUAGUUUUGUAUAUUAACAAAUAUAUAUUAAAAUAAAUUAUAUUAUAUUUUUAAUAAUGAGUGCUGGGGGAGUGACUUGUGGGCAUGGUUAGAUUUUCCUUCUUUUUUGUCUCUAGCUGAUCACAUGCCUGAAGGAGGCUUAAUAACAGUUACACAGCUCAAAGUUUGUCAAAACCUCUUUAGCAGUGACUAGACUGGGGAAUUAUAUAUUAUAUAUUGUAUACACACACACACACACACACACACACACACACACACACACACACACACACACACACACACACACACACACACACACACAC